rnacentral:misc_RNA from 1 species
GCGAGUCAGUAAUCGUGCCAUCCCUCUUCGAUCUGUAUUCCAAGUACUUUGUCAAAAUGUCAUCAACUGUAGGUGAGCGUGGAAGCUUGACUAGCUUAUCCUGCUGUGUAACAAAUUCCCAGUCAUCAACAAGUUGCUUUCUAAGUGUUGAAGGUAUUUGAAUCUUGAUAGCUUUCUCUACGGAUUGAUUGUCCUUGGUGCCUGAGUCAUUCUUUCGUUUCUUCCCCUUUGGUGCAU